rnacentral:rRNA from 1 species
AUUGAACGCUGGCGGCAGGCCUAACACAUGCAAGUCGAGCGGAUGAAGGGAGCUUGCGCCUGGAGUCAGCGGCGGGCGGGGGAGUAAUGCCUAGGAAUCUGCCGGGUAGUGGGGGAUAACGUCCGGAAACGGGCGCUAAUACCGCAUACGUCCUGAGGGAGAAAGUGGGGGAUCUUCGGACCUCACGCUAUCAGAUGAGCCUAGGUCGGAUUAGCUAGUUGGUGGGGUAAAGGCCUACCAAGGCGACGAUCCGUAACUGGUCUGAGAGGAUGAUCAGUCACACUGGAACUGAGACACGGUCCAGACUCCUACGGGAGGCAGCAGUGGGGAAUAUUGGACAACGGGCGAAAGCCUGAUCCAGCCAUGCCGCGUGUGUGAAGAAGGUCUUCGGAUUGUAAAGCACUUUAAGUUGGGAGGAAGGGCAGUAAGUUAAUACCUUGCUGUUUUGACGUUACCAACAGAAUAAGCACCGGCUAACUUCGUG